GAUGGACCAAAUCUUGGUGUCUCAUUUGAGAGGUGGAGAACUAAAAGGGAACAGAACAUUUUUGCCCUAGAGAAUCUUUGCAUACUCCUUCCCAAUUUAAACCAACGCCACCUCUCACUCUACAUAUCUUGCAAGUUGUCUCACCGCACUCUUUGGAACCCCAAUUGAGAGCCUGUUGAAGCUUGUGAGCAGAACAGAAAGGAUCUCUGGUACUGGGCUUUGUGUGGCAAUCUGCAUGUUGUAUGGAGGACAGGUAGCCAAGUAUUUUUAACAAACCAUGAUGGCUUAUGACAGAAGGGUACUGCCUUAUUUGAGAAAUGGGAGAAGGGAAUGCCAGGAGUCUCCUGCAGCUGAAUGGCUAGAAACCUAAGAAAUAGAUGGUGAUGUUUGGUGUCAUCUUCCUUAAAAACUGAUUUCAUGGCUGUCACUCAAGACACACACAUACCCAGGAGCAGGAUCGUGACCAUGAGACUGAGCUCCGCAUCUGCAGCUUGGAACAAACGGGAAAAGUUGGAAUGGAUGUCGCCCCUGUUCAAGCAGGACAAACCCAGCUGUAGAGAAACUUGUUUCUGUUUCCCUCCAACCCCAUCGGAGGGGGAUUCUGAAUACACUCACAGGCUCUGUCCAGCCUUUUUCAUUGGAACCAACUGGACAUUCAGGAUCCAGCUUCUGCUGCUCUUUGUAACCGAGUAUUCAAACAAAUUCAAGACUGGUGAGACAGCAAUGAGGCCACACAGCUGCCAUAACAAGAAGCUAACAAGGGGUCCUGAGCUCCUCCAGUUAUUAAGGGUAGCAAGUGAAGCAAAGAACCUCACAUCUACCUUCAUCCAGGUGGGACUUCCAUUUUCAGCUUGAACAAAAGAUGUGAUCCAUGAUGAGCAUUUUCUUACUACUUCUGAGCACUUAUUUUCUUUCUUUCUCUUUCUUUUUGCUGAUAACUGUAAUGUUGACCCUACUCAGUGCAAGACUGUUCGCAGCCAUGAAACAAAAGCAUUAGUACAAAAGCAGUAUGAAAUGGUAUGCACAAAGUUCAAUUCAACAUAGUUUUAUUUUAACAAGGAGGCAAAACAAGAAUUUGCUAAGAAUUUGCUGUGCUAAGCAGGAACUGCACCCGUCCAAAAUAUGAACUCACAGAGGGGAAAGUGGGGGAGCAAAAGGAAGCAUGGCAAAGCCAGAUUAUUCCUGGGGGAUUAACACAGCAAUCAGAAUCUCUCUUGUGGGCUUGGAAGUAAGAAGGUUGCCUACCAAGCAUCUUUUAAGCACUGCAGAUUUAAAGCUGAAAAGAACGAAAAGCCAAUUGUCAGGCAAGUGACCAUGGCCACCACACAAGUAGCUCAAAAUGGCUUUAUAAAAAGAUGCAUACAAGAAGAAUUCUCAUUUUAUUCAUGCUACAGCCUUUUUUAAUCUUGUAUAUUCAGAAGUUUCUUACAAAACUGUAAUCCUGAAAACAUGUUCAAUUUGACACUGGGAAGGAAAAAAAGUAUGACAGGAGUCUGGAUGAACAAAUGAAGAUGCUAACAUCAUUCAAGAAGAAAUCUGUAAUUUGAUGCAAGAAGGAAAAUGAAUUUCCUCACUGUGCCAUGCUAUCUUUAAAAUUUCAGCAGAAAAA